ensembl:snRNA U1 U1 spliceosomal RNA
AAUUUCAACAAACGCAAGCGAUCCCUCAUUCAAGAAGGGAGUUUUCUCAAGAUGAGGCUUAGCCACUGCAAUCCAGAUCUUCUGACCCUGAGAUUGCCCCCAAAUGUGGAGACCUCUAUUGUAAAGUUUGUGGUAGUGGGGGAUUGUGUUAUAACUUUCCCCUA